AGGCGGUUCUCUAAGAGGCCCGCUAUCGGAAUGGGUACAAUUUAAACCCUUUAACGAGGACCUAUGAGAGGGCAAGUCUGGUGCCAGCAGCCGCGGUAAUUCCAGCUCUCAAGGUGUAUAUCGCCAUUGCUGCGGUUAAAAAGCUCGUAGUUGGAUCUGCGCCUUCGGACUCGGUCCUCCCAACGGGUGCGAACUGAGCUCCAAGGCUACUACUGCUGGUUUUCCCUUGAUGCUCUUCACUGGGUGUCUUGGGUGGCUAGCGAGUUUACUUUGAAAAAAUUAGAGAGCUCAAAACAGGCUAUUGCCUGAAUACCGGUGCAUGGAAUAAUAGAAUAGGAUCUCGGUCCUAUUUUGUUGGUUUUCGGAACUGAGAUAAUGGUUAAGAGGGACAGACGGGGGCAUUCGUAUCGCUGCGUGAGAGGUGAAAUUCUUGGACCGCAGCGAGACGCCCAACUGCGAAAGCAUUUGCCAAGAAUGUCCUCGUUAAUCAAGAACGAAAGUCAGAGGUUCGAAGGCGAUCAGAUACCGCCCUAGUUCUGACCGUAAACGAUGCCAACUAGCGAUCCGCCGGUGGUAAUUACGCCCCGGCGGGGAGCUUCCCGGAAACGAAAGUCUUCCGGUUCCGGGGGAAGUAUGGUUGCAAAGCUGAAACUUAAAGGAAUUGACGGAAGGGCACCACCAGGAGUGGAGCUUGCGGCUUAAUUUGACCCAACACGUGAAAACUCACCCGGCCCGGACACCGUAAGGAUUGACAGAUUGAGAGCUCUUUCUUGAUUCGGUGGUUGGUGGUGCAUGGCCGUUCUUAGUUGGUGGAGCGAUUUGUCUGGUUUAUUCCGAUAACGAACGAGACUCUGGCCUACUAACUAGUGACAGAAUUAUUGCUGUUCUGGUUACUUCUUAGAGGGACAAGUGGUGUUCAGCCACACGAAAUUGAGCAAUAACAGGUCUGUGAUGCCCUUAGAUGUCCGGGGCUGCACGCGUGCUACACUGGAGGAAACAGCAUGCAAAACCAUUGCCGAGAGGCAUUGGUAAACCCGAGAAAAUCUUCCGUGAUCGGGAUCGGGAAUUGCAAUUAUUUCCCUUGAACGAGGAAUUCCCAGUAAGUGUGGGUCAUCAGCUCGCGCUGAUUACGUCCCUGCCCUUUGUACACACCGCCCGUCGCUGCCCGGGACUGAGCCGUUUCGAGAAAAGCGGGGACUGCUGCUGUUGGGGCUUUCGGGCCUUGGCUUCGGUGGAAACCGCUU
rnacentral:rRNA from 1 species